rnacentral:rRNA from 1 species
GAUGAACGCUGGCGGCGUGCCUAACACAUGCAAGUCGAACGGACUCAUAUUGAAACCUAGUGAUUUAUGAGUUAGUGGCGGACGGGUGAGUAACGCGUGGAAAACCUGCCGUAUACCGGGGGAUAACACUUAGAAAUAGGUGCUAAUACCGCAUAAGCGCACAGUGUCGCAUGACGCAGUGUGAAAAACUUCGGUGGUAUACGAUGGACCCGCGUCUGAUUAGCCAGUUGGCAGGGUAACGGCCUACCAAAGCGACGAUCAGUAGCCGGCCUGAGAGGGUGAACGGCCACAUUGGGACUGAGACACGGCCCAA